ACACGGACCAAGGAGUGCAACAUGCGUGCGAGUCUUUGGGUGUCAAACCCAGCGGCACAAUGAAAGUGAAGGCAGGCGUUGGUCUGCUUAGGCGAGAGUCUUCACAUGGAGACACAUCGUCGACCGAUCCCAGGUCACGCUGUGGCGGGAUUUGAGUGAGAGCGUGCCUGUUGCGACCCGAAAGAUGGUGAACUAUGCCUGAAUAGGGUGAAGCCAGAGGAAACUCUGGUGGAAGCUCGUAGCGAUUCUGACGUGCAAAUCGAUCGUCAAAUUUGGGUAUAGGGGCGAAAGACUAAUCGAACCAUCUAGUAGCUGGUUCCCUCCGAAGUUUCCCUCAGGAUAGCUGGAGCCCGGUGCAGUUUUAUCAGGUAAAGCGAAUGAUUAGAGGUCUUGGGGUUGAAACAACCUCAACCUAUUCUCAAACUUUAAAUGGGUAAGAAGCUUGGCUUGCUUAAUUGAAGUCAGGCAUUGAAUGCCGGGGCUCCAAGUGGGCCAUUUUUGGUAAGCAGAACUGGCGAUGUGGGAUGAACCAAAUGCUGGGUUAAGGUGCCCGAAUCAACGCUCAUCAGAUACCAUGAAAGGUGUUGGUUGAUCUAGACAGCAGGACGGUGGCCAUGGAAGUCGGAAUCCGCUAAGGAGUGUGUAACAACU
rnacentral:rRNA from 1 species